AUUGAACGCUGGCGGCAGGCCUAACACAUGCAAGUCGAGCGGAUGAAGGGAGCUUGCUCCUGGAUUCAGCGGCGGACGGGUGAGUAAUGCCUAGGAAUCUGCCUGGUAGUGGGGGAUAACGUCCGGAAACGGGCGCUAAUACCGCAUACGUCCUGAGGGAGAAAGUGGGGGAUCUUCGGACCUCACGCUAUCAGAUGAGCCUAGGUCGGAUUAGCUAGUUGGUGGGGUAAAGGCCUACCAAGGCGACGAUCCGUAACUGGUCUGAGAGGAUGAUCAGUCACACUGGAACUGAGACACGGUCCAGACUCCUACGGGAGGCAGCAGUGGGAAAUAUUGGACAAAGGGCGAAAGCCUGAUCCAGCCAUGCCGCGUGUGUGAAGAAGGUCUUCGGAUUGUAAAGCACUUUAAGUUGGGAGGAAGGGCAGUAAGUUAAUACCUUGCUGUUUUGACGUUACCAACAGAAUAAGCACCGGCUAACUUCGUG
rnacentral:rRNA from 1 species